GCUGUGGAUAGGGGUGAAAGGCUAAACAAACUUGGAAAUAGCUGGUUCUCUCCGAAAACUAUUUAGGUAGUGCCUCAGGUAUUACUGACGGGGGUAGAGCACUGUUAUGGCUAGGGGGUCAUCGCGACUUACCAACCCAUGGCAAACUCCGAAUACCGUCAAGUACGAGCCUGGGAGACAGACAUCGGGUGCUAACGUCCGGUGUCAAGAGGGAAACAACCCAGACCGCCAGCUAAGGUCCCAAAUGACAUGCUAAGUGGUAAACGAAGUGGGAAGGCCUAGACAGCCAGGAUGUUGGCUUAGAAGCAGCCAUCAUUUAAAGAAAGCGUAAUAGCUCACUGGUCGAGUCGUCCUGCGCGGAAGAUGUAACGGGGCUCAAGCAUGUAACCGAAGCUGCGGAUAUGUACUCUGUACAUAUGGUAGGAGAGCGUUCUGUAGGCCUGCGAAGGUGGCUUGUAAAGGCUGCUGGAGGUAUCAGAAGUGCGAAUGCUGACAUGAGUAGCGAUAAUGCGGGUGAAAGUCCCGCACGCCGAAAACCCAAGGUUUCCUACGCAACGUUCAUCGGCGUAGGGUGAGUCGGCCCCUAAGGCGAGGCAGAAAUGCGUAGUCGAUGGGAAACAGGUUAAAAUUCCUGUACCGAUUGUGAGUGCGAUGGGGGGACGGAGAAGGGUAGCUCAGCCAACUGUUGGAAUAGUUGGUUCAAGCGUGUAGGCAGGUCCAUCAGGCAAAUCCGGUGGGCCAAUGCUGAGGCGUGAUAACGAGGUGCUACGGCACUGAAGUGAGUAAUCCCAUGCUUCCAGGAAAAGCCUCUAAGCUUCAGCUCACAAUUGACCGUACCGCAAACCGACACAGGUGGGUAGGAUGAGAAUUCUAAGGCGCUUGAGAGAACUCGGGUUAAGGAACUCGGCAAAUUGACACCGUAACUUCGGGAGAAGGUGUGCCCCGGUAGGGUGAAGGACCUCGCGUCCGGAGCUCGAUGGGGUUGCAGUGAAAAGGUGGCUGCGACUGUUUAAUAAAAACACAGCACUGUGCCAACACGAAAGUGGACGUAUACGGUGUGACGCCUGCCCGGUGCUGGAAGAUUAAAUGAUGGGGUGCAAGCUCUUGACUGAAGUCCCAGUAAACGGCGGCCGUAACUAUAACGGUCCUAAGGUAGCGAAAUUCCUUGUCGGGUAAGUUCCGACCCGCACGAAUGGCGUAACGAUGGCCACACUGUCUCAACCCGAGACUCAGCGAAGUUGAAAUGUUUGUGAAGAUGCAAUCUCCCCGCUGCUAGACGGAAAGACCCCGUGAACCUUUACUGUAGCUUUGCAUUGGACUUUGAACAGACUUGUGUAGGAUAGGUGGGAGGCUUUGAAGCAGAGACGCCAGUUUCUGUGGAGCCGCCCUUGAAAUACCACCCUGGUGUGUUUGAGGUUCUAACCUUGGUCCGUCAUCCGGAUCGGGGACCGUGCAUGGUAGGCAGUUUGACUGGGGCGGUCUCCUCCCAAAGUGUAACGGAGGAGUUCGAAGGUUACCUAGGUACGGUCGGACAUCGUACUGAUAGUGCAAUGGCAAAAGGUAGCUUAACUGCGAGACCCACAAGUCGAGCAGGUGCGAAAGCAGGACAUAGUGAUCCGGUGGUUCUGAAUGGAAGGGCCAUCGCUCAACGGAUAAAAGGUACUCCGGGGAUAACAGGCUGAUUCCGCCCAAGAGUUCAUAUCGACGGCGGAGUUUGGCACCUCGAUGUCGGCUCAUCACAUCCUGGGGCUGUAGCCGGUCCCAAGGGUAUGGCUGUUCGCCAUUUAAAGUGGUACGUGAGCUGGGUUUAAAACGUCGUGAGACAGUUUGGUCCCUAUCUGCAGUGGGCGUUGGAAGUUUGAAGGGGGCUGCUCCUAGUACGAGAGGACCGGAGUGGACGAACCUCUGGUGUACCGGUUAUGACGCCAGUCGUAUCGCCGGGUAGCUAAGUUCGGAAGAGAUAAGCGCUGAAAGCAUCUAAGCGCGAAACUCGCCUUAAGAUGAGACUUCCCUGGCACCUAGAGUGCCCUGAAGGGUCGUUCGAGACCAGGACGUUGAUAGGUUGGGUGUGGAAGCGCAGUAAUGCGUUAAGCUAACCAAUACUAAUUGCCCGUGCGGCUUGAUCCU
rnacentral:rRNA from 1 species